CCCUUAGAUGUUCUGGGCCGCACGCGCGCUACACUGAUGCAUUCAACGAGUCUAAAACCUGGUCUGAUAGGGCUGGGUAAUCUUUUGAAUGUGCAUCGUGAUUGGGAUAGAUGAUUGCAAUUCUUCAUCUUCAACGAGGAAUGCCUAGUAAACGCAAGUCAUCAGCUUGCAUUGAUUACGUCCCUGCCCUUUGUACACACCGCCCGUCGCUCCUACCGAUUGAAUGUUCCGAUGAAUACCAUGGACUGAGAGUAUGAAUGGGUUCGCCUAUUUCUGCUUCUCGGGAAGUGGAGUAAAUCUUAACAUUUAGAGGAAGGUGAAGUCGUAACA
rnacentral:rRNA from 1 species